AUUGAACGCUGGCGGCAUGCCUUACACAUGCAAGUCGAACGGUAACAGGUCUUCGGAUGCUGACGAGUGGCGAACGGGUGAGUAAUACAUCGGAACGUGCCUAGUAGUGGGGGAUAACUACUCGAAAGAGUGGCUAAUACCGCAUGAGAUCUACGGAUGAAAGCAGGGGAUCGCAAGACCUUGUGCUACUAGAGCGGCCGAUGGCAGAUUAGGUAGUUGGUGGGAUAAAAGCUUACCAAGCCGACGAUCUGUAGCUGGUCUGAGAGGACGAUCAGCCACACUGGGACUGAGACACGGCCCAGACUCCUACGGGAGGCAGAAGUGGGGAAUUUUGGACAAUGGGCGAAAGCCUGAUCCAGCAAUGCCGCGUGCAGGAUGAAGGCCUUCGGGUUGUAAACUGCUUUUGUACGGAACGAAAAGCCCUGGGUUAAUACCCUGGGGUCAUGACGGUACCGUAAGAAUAUGCACCGGCUAACUACGUGCCAGCCGCCGCGGUAAUAC
rnacentral:rRNA from 1 species